rnacentral:rRNA from 1 species
AGCGAACGCUGGCGGCAGGCUUAACACAUGCAAGUCGAGCGCCCCGCAAGGGGAGCGGCAGACGGGAGAGUAACACGUGGGAACGUCCCCUUCGGUUCGGAACAACACAGGGAAACUUGUGCUAAUACCGGAUACGUCCGUAAGGAGAAAGAUUCAUCGCCGAGGGAUCGGCCCGCGUCUGAUUAGCUAGUUGGUGGGGUAAUGGCCCACCAAGGCGACGAUCAGUAGCUGGUCUGAGAGGAUGAUCAGCCUCACUGGGACUGAGACACGGCCCAGACUCCUACGGGAGGCAGCAGUGGGGAAUAUUGGACAAUGGGCGCAAGCCUGAUCCAGCCAUGCCGCGUGGAUGAUGAAGGCCUUAGGGUUGUAAAGUCCUUUUAACGGGGAAGAUAAUGACGGUACCCGUAGAAUAAGCCCCGGCUAACUUCGUGCCAGCCGCCGCAGUAAUAC